AGUUGCUGAAAAAGUCCGGAAGAAUAAUUUAUCUCAAUAAUGUAGAAUUCACACAAUAACUGAAGGUUAAUGAAUGUCACACAGGAAGUAAAACAAAAACCAUGAAUCAGAAGAUACUAAUAAAAAACCAAUCAAAAGACAAUAAUUGAGGAAAUGUUCUCUCAUUUACCCUGAAAUAUCUGAUCAAUACAGGCCUUAAGACUUCUACACGUGGUCUGCUGCAUCCUCCCGACUCUGCCAGAAUCCUUACAGGAAUUGUUUGAGCGAUGCUUUAAAAUCAGCUCCAGAUGGGCUGUACCACUCAAUUAGCAUCACCUGCUUAAAGUUAACUGCCUCAUAUUCCUAAUACAGUCACUCCUCAAGCUCUUACGCUUAAAGAAUGUUGGUGUUUUGUUUCUUGGAGGCAUAGUUUAGGCUUUUAAUAAGCUCAUUUGAGUCACUGUGAAUGUUUUUCGUUUAGCCAGAGAACAUGUGUUGCUGUUUUUAGAGGAAACAGGGUGAUGAGAGCGUUUUUUUUUUUAAACCUAUCAGGUUUUAAAGAAAAGUAUUGCACACAUGCAAAAAGCCAGCUCAUGUAUUCUUACAUCAGCGAGUGYUGGCACAACGGGACAGCUCUCUCCGGUGUGGACGGGAUCCACCCUGUUUAUGUAAAAAUCUGUGGAGGAAGCAGGCCAACAAACAGUGCUUCAGCCGUACCGUGGCUCCGAUUUUAUCUCUCAGCUCAUGCAGCCGUUUCAGUCACGAACAAAGUUGAUGCAGGAAAGCAACGUUUCUGUGUGAAACAAAAGGCUGGGCUUUGUCAGGAAGCUGCACACUGGGUGGGCUGGAGGCUGACAAGGAAAAUGCACCUGGACCAGUCCUCCUGUGUUUAUGUCUCUUUCCCGUCCCCGCAAACCCAACCGGUCCAGGGGUUUGAAGAAGUUGGGAACAGCUCGGUCGAAACGGCUGGGAGGCAUCUAUAUUUUUAAUUAUAAAUAUUCAUUUUAGUCAUUACUCAAGACAAGAACAUGCUAGCCAAACAAAAAUCGAACACCACACAUAUGGAGGAAUGUGUAACAAUUCGGUUUGGUCAAAACAACUCCAACCCACCUGAAAAAAGGUCCCUGUUUUUUAAAAUUACAUAUAAAAUGAGACAGGGAUGUGCUUGCCACAUUAGGACAUA